AUUGAACGCUGGCGGCAUGCCUUACACAUGCAAGUCGAACGGUAACGGGCCUUCGGGUGCCGACGAGUGGCGAACGGGUGAGUAAUGUAUCGGAACGUACCUUUCAGUGGGGGAUAACGUAGCGAAAGUUACGCUAAUACCGCAUAUUCUGUGUGCAGGAAAACAGGGGAUCGCAAGACCUUGCCCUGAUUGAGCGGCCGAUAUCAGAUUAGCUAGUUGGUGAGGUAAAGGCUCACCAAGGCGACGAUCUGUAGCGGGUCUGAGAGGAUGAUCCGCCACACUGGAACUGAGACACGGUCCAGACUCCUACGGGAGGCAGCAGUGGGGAAUUUUGGACAAUGGGGGCAACCCUGAUCCAGCCAUGCCGCGUGAGUGAAGAAGGCCUUCGGGUUGUAAAGCUCUUUCGGCCGGGAAGAAAUCGUAUCAGCUAAUACCUGGUGCGGAUGACGGUACCGGCAUAAGAAGCACCGGCUAACUACGUGCCAGCCGCCGCAGUAAAAC
rnacentral:rRNA from 1 species